rnacentral:tmRNA from 1 species
GGGGGUGUAAUAGAUUUGACGGGUAUCUGUUGCCUUUCGGGAGCAAGUACCGGUUGGCCAGGCCGGUUAAAAUAGGGCCACAAAAAUAACUAACGACAAUCAAGUCGCUUGGGCUAACGCUUAGUCCACUGCCUCUUUUCUGUUUCCCGCGCGGAAAAGAAAGGCGGUCAAACACACGGGAUGCUACAGCUUUGGCGCGGCUCGUCCGAGCUGGGUAAGCCAAACGAACCAAACUGGGGACGUGCUGCCUUGCGCUUAGUUCCCAGUACUUAGCAAGGCUAAACUUGUAGUGCCUGACGGGAGAGGAUGUUCGGACGGGGGUGCGAAUCCCCCCACCUCCAC